CCUGCAUAGCAGAACCACUCGCGAACAAGUUAACAACAAACAUGGCAUGGUGGAGUGUGGGGGAUACCUCGCAUUUUAGUGUGCCUGAUGGUGCCCGGGCAGUUUGCCUCGGUGCUCAACAAAACCCCGGCGUGAGAAACGCCAAGGAGUACUAUAACAAGUGUCUUAACCGUCCUCUCCCGAUAAAGGGGCCAAGGGGAUUGGGAUGGAUUCUUUCUAAACCACAACGACUCUCGGCAACGGAUAUCUCGGCUCUCGCAUCGAUGAAGAACGUAGCGAAAUGCGAUACUUGGUGUGAAUUGCAGAAUCCCGUGAACCAUCGAGUCUUUGAACGCAAGUUGCGCUUGAAGCCAUUAGGCUAAAGGCACGUCUGCCUGGGCGUCACGCAUCACGGUACUCCAUCCACACUAUUUCGACGGAUGGGGUUGAAUGUGACCUCGUGUGACUUAAGAGUUGCAGUUGGUCGAAAUUUAGAUGCGGAGCUUAGGACUUCACGACAAGUGGUGGUUGUUUAACAACUAGCGUCAUGUCGUGUGCCAAAGCUACUCGACUCUCAAGAUCCUAAGGUGCAUGUUAUCCUUCUUAUUUGGUUGGAAAACUUGUGCUACGAACGCGACCCCAGGUCAGGCGGGACUACCCGCUGAAUUAAGCAUAUCAA
rnacentral:rRNA from 1 species